CCUACGGGGGGCAGCAGUGGGGAAUAUUGGACAAUGGGGGGAACCCUGAUCCAGCCAUGCCGCGUGUGUGAAGAAGGCCCUCGGGUUGUAAAGCACUUUCAGUGAGGAAGAACGCCUGGUGGUUAAUACCCAUCAGGAAAGACAUCACUCACAUAAGAAGCACCGGCUAACUCCGUGCCAGCAGCCGCGGUAAUACGGAGGGUGCGAGCGUUAAUCGGAAUUACUGGGCGUAAAGCGCGCGUAGGUGGCUUGAUAAGCCGGUUGUGAAAGCCCCGGGCUCAACCUGGGAACGGCAUCCGGAACUGUCAAGCUAGAGUGCAGGAGAGGAAGGUAGAAUUCCCGGUGUAGCGGUGAAAUGCGUAGAGAUCGGGAGGAAUACCAGUGGCGAAGGCGGCCUUCUGGACUGACACUGACACUGAGGUGCGAAAGCGUGGGUAGCAAACAGGAUUAGAUACCCCUGUAGUC
rnacentral:rRNA from 1 species